ensembl:snoRNA
AAUUCCCCUAGAGUCAUUGAAGGUGUGGCCGCUGUGUGUGUGUCAGUAGAUGGCGGAGAGUGGAGAGCUUUUGUCUCUGCUCAGGGUUCCGACCUGUGAACAUCUGAGUGAUUAGUGUCCUGACGUG